GCCGGAGUGGCGGAAUUGGCAGACGCGACGGAUUCAAAAUCCGUUUCCUGUAAUGGGAGUGAGGGUUCGAGUCCCUCCUCCGGCA
rnacentral:tRNA from 1 species